rnacentral:rRNA from 1 species
GAUGAACGCUAGCGGCAGGCUUAAUACGUGCAAGUCGAGGGACAGCACAGGUAGCAAUACUGGGUGGUAACCGGCAAACGGGUGCGGAACACGUACACGACCUUCCUUUAAGUGGGGGAUAGCCCAGAGAAAUUUGGAUUAAUACCCCGUAAUAUAGUUGAAUGGCAUCAUUUGAUUAUUAUAGCUACGGCGCUUAAUGAUGGGUGUGCGGCUGAUUAGAUAGUUGGCGGGGUAACGGCCCACCAAGUCUACGAUCAGUAGCUGAUGGGAGAGCAUGAUCAGCCACACGGGCACUGAGACAGGGGCCCGACUCCUACGGGAGGCAGCAGUAAGGAAUAUUGGUCAAUGGACGCAAGUUGGAACCAGCCAUGCCGCGUGAAGGAUUAAGGUCCUCUGGAUUGUAAACUUCUUUUAUUUGGGACGAAAAAGGGCCUUUCUAGGUCAACUGACGGUACCAGAUGAAUAAGCACCGGCUAACUCCGUGCCAGCCGCCGCGGUAACAC